rnacentral:lncRNA from 1 species
CUACCAAAAAGUGCAAAAAAAUUAGCUGGGUGUGGUGGCAUGCACCUGUAAUCCCAGCUACUUGGGAGACUGAGGCGAGAGAAUUGCUUGAACCCAGGAAGUGGAGGUUGCAGUGAGCCGAGAUCACACCAUUGCACUCCAGCCUGGGUGACAGAGUGAGACCCUGUAUCAAAAAAAAAAAAAAAAAAAAAAGUUGACUAAUAUCUAUAGAAUGAGUCACCCUAUUCACUUGAUUAUUAAAAUUUGCCUCUGCUGAUAUCACCCUUUGGUGAGCAUUCACAUGGGACACAAAUCUCUUAAUCUUUUGCACAUUCAGAGAGGUUUAUCCAUAUACCUCUUCCCCAGAUUUCCUUGUCACCAGUUUUCCCAUCAUGUUCUUUCCAAGUCCCUGAUCAUCCAGCCAAAUCAUCGGCUACAGCCCAUGAAUCAGUAUAUUAUCACAUGUCUGGCCAUCGGUCCUGCCAAGCAAAGUGCACGACCAGGUGCACUGGCUGAAGUUCUGCCCACUGGGAAGAUUUCCUUCACCACAGUCCUUCAGGGAUGUCCUAGAAAGGGGCUACAGUGCUACAGCAUCCACUUUUGGGUCGUGCCUGCAUAUCCUGCAGAACCCUCUGUAAACCAGGCCUGAGUCUUCUCAUCCUCUGUCAGCUGAUCUGGGGAACUCCCCAUGAAGCCACAGGUGCAGGCUGGGAGAGAGAAGGCAACAUAGCAGGGUUAGGAACCGUGGGCAUUUGGGUCACUUCUUCAUGUAACUUACUUGUGCCUUCGGAACCUGCUCGGGCCUGAUCACAGAUACACCACUUCCAUUUGAUGAUGGAGUCUUGCUUUGUCCACCCAACUUUAUGGUGUGGUGGGUCAGAUAACACCCAGCUUAUGACAGGCAGCUCAAGUUGCAUGAUAAUGUCAUGGCCCAUGUCAAGCGUUCAGUCUCUGCUGAGGCCCGCUAGUAGGCCAAGAGCUGUUUCUCAGAAGGGGAGUAGUUAUCUGCAAAUGACAGCAGGCUCUUGCCAUGAAAUCUUAUACUCUCCACUGUGAUUCACCUAUAGGGGCCUGCCAAAGCCUCCAAGCAGCAUCGCUACCUGCCACUGACACUUUAAGCGCCACUGGAUCUGCUGGGUCAUGUGGCGCAAGGGGCAGAGCAGCUUGCACAGCAGCCUGGACCUAUUGCAGAACCUUAUCUUAUUCUGGGCUUCACUCAAAACUAGCAGCUUUGGGAGUUACUCAGUAAAGGGGAGAAACACACCCAAAUGAAGAAUAUGUUGCCUCCAAAAUCCAAAGAAGCCCAUUGGGCUUAUUUUGGUUGUAGAAAUGGCCAGAUGCAAAAUCAUAUCCUUCACCUAGAAGGGCUAUUUUGACAUACCCCAUACCACUGGAUGCUAGAAAUUUCACUGAGGUAGAGGCCUAUGAAUUUUAAUCAGAUUUGUUUUCCACCCUCUGACACACAAAUGUUUUACUAAUAAGUCUAGAGUAGUUGCUACUUCUUGCUCACUAGCAUAAUGUCAUUGGUGUAAUGGAUCAGUGUGGUACCUUGUGGAAGGGAAAGGCAAACGAGAUCCCUGCAAGCUAACUAAUGGACAUAGGGCUGGAGAGUUACUGUAUCCCUGCUGCAAAAUAACCGAAGGUACAUUUCUGGCCUUGCCAGCUGAAAGCAAACUGCUUCUGGUGGGUCUUAUUAACAGGGGUGGAGAGAAGGCAUUUGCCAGAUCAAUAGCUACAUACCAGGUACCAGGGGCUGUGGUAAUUUGCUCAAGAAAUGAAACCACACCUGAUACAGCAGCUGCAAUUAGAGUUAUUACCUGCUUACAAUAAUCCACUGUCAUUCUCCAAGAUCUAUCUGCCUUCUGCACAGGCCAAAUAAUAAGUGAAUUGAAUGCAGAUGUGGUAGGAAUCACCACCCCGUGUCCUUUAUGUCCUUGAUGGUGGCAUCAGUCUCUACACUCUGUCAAGGUAUGGCUCUUGGUUUACUAUUUUCCUAAGUAGAGGCAGUCCUGCUGGCUUCUACUUGACUUUUCUCAACAUAAUAGUUCUCAUUCCACAGGUCAGGGAACUAAUGUGGGGAUUCUGCCAGUUACCAAGUAUGUCUAUUCGAAUUUUGCAUUCCAGAAAAGGAGAAGCAACCACAGGAUGAGUUCAGGGACCCACUGGACUCACUGUGAGAUGGAAUUGAACUAAAACUCCAUGGAUCAGCUGACCUCCACAAGCCUCUCCUCUAACUCCUGGACCACAGUGACAUUUUGGGUCUCCUGGAAUCAGUGAGAGUUCAGAGCCAGUGUCUACUAGUGCCUGAAAGUUCUGAUUAUUUCUUUUUUCUCAAUGCAUAGUUAAUGCUGUAAAAGGCUAUAUGUAGGUCCCUUUGGGGAAGGCUAGGGGAACAUUAACAGGAUAAAUUUCGGGUAGUACACCAGAGUGGUUCCUCAACGGGGCCCAUCUUCCCCUUUAUCCAAGGGGUUUCGAGGCUGUAGGCUGGCUCAAGUCUGGGAAUUGAUUGAGGGGCUAUGACUCUCUGCUUCUACAAUUCACGUUAGAUUUUUGUUCACUUAACCUAGAAUUUUCCACUUGUACACAUCAAGUAAGAAUUUGGUUGGCUUCCUAUCUAUUUCACUUCUAGGAACACCAUGGUCAGCUAGCCAACACCAUAUACAUGCGCGUGCACCCCCCCACACACACGCACACACACAUCCCCGGCACCAGGCCAGGAAUUUUUAAUUCUGAAGGAACAUCUCCCUCAGCUGUUUCUGCCAGUCUGAGGUGAGCAGUGGGCAUGGGGCUGGGGAGGGAGGGGCCAAGGCGUGCAUCUGCGUUACUGCAGACGUCCACGUUACUGCAUGUGUCCACAUUACUGCAGGUGCAGGUUGGAGCCCCCACCCAGACCCGCACCAGCUGCUGCCAUCUCUCAUGCUCAGUCCCAGGACAGUUAUUCUCAGCUUUCCCGGACACCUCCCUGUUCCCACUAGAUGCAACAGCACAGCUAGUUCCUGCUGCAUGGUGCUCCCAGCUUCUGAGUCUUUAAAGAUUUGUUUUUAGAGAUGAGGUCUUGCCAUGUUGCCCAGGCUAGUCUUGAACUCCUGGCUUCCAGUCACUGGGGUCAGGCCCUGCAGGAAAUUGGUACUGCUCGGAUGGGAGGCAGGAAUUGGUACAGCUAGGAUGGGGCAGGCAAGGCAAGUCCCAUUCGAUAGACUGUGGCCCACCGAGUGUAUGCUCUGCACUUGGAAUCCGGAAUGAUGAGGGGGCUAAGGACCAUGACAUAAACUGGAAAUAUUUAACCUAGAAAGACUGUUCUUAGAGACAUUGUUAUGUUUGAGUAAUAAAAGCUAGUACUUACUGGGCUCUAAGUUUGUGCCAGGCAUAGUGCUAAGUGUAUUAUGUGCUUAAAAAAAUUCUCAAAGGCCCCAUUUUACAGAUGUGGAAAUCGAAGCACAGGGAAGUGGAAAAUCACGGUUACUCUACCACAGUAUGAAUUCCCAUGGGCAGGAUCCCCCAAUGGAUGCUGAAGUGAAUGGGCAGAGCUAACUCAGAGAGCUAGGGGUGGCAGGGCUAACAUCUGAGCUCAGGUUUUUCUGAUUCCAAUUUUUUAACUGCCACAUGUGGGGAAUUAGAUUUUUUUUUCUUUUUUUACUACACCUCAUGGUAAAAUUUGGAUCCAUAGGUGGCAGCUACAGGGAGAUGUAUUUCACCUCAGUAUAAACAAUAUCUUUCUAUUUCCACCAUUCAAAAAUGGAGUAGGCAGGCAGCUUUAACAGGUAGUGAGUUCACCAUCAAUGGUGGCAAACAAACUGAGCAUGUAUCGGGGACACUACAGAGGGAUCCAGCACUGAUUAGACAAUCAGGAUUGCAGAGUGACCUUUUUGGGGUCAUUUAGAAAAUGUGUGAGUGGAAGAAGGGAGGAAGGUACCAGCCAAGGGAGACUCUAAAAUCUGCGAGCAGAAUGGCAAACUGUGAUUGCUGAAACGUUAUGGCCACAGCCAAGGACUCUAGGCACUGCCAGAGAUGGGGGGCUGUAAGGAGGCAGCAUGUGACAGGGUGAAGAGUGGGCAGUUUUGGGAUCAAGAUCCCAAGGGGCACAACGUCUUUGUAAAUCCUCCACAAAAGGCCUUCCACAGAAACUUUGUACUUCAAAAUUCCAGCCCUGGUAGGUCAUUCCCUUGGCUUCAGACUUUUUUCUUUGUUGAGAUGGAAGUUGAUUGGGGCUGAGUCAACUUAGCUAAGUGGGAGCUACAUUUCCCACAGUUGCCUUCCCAAUAUGCUUCCAUUUAGGGUUGGCUAUAAAGAGGAAUAUACAUGAGAUUCGGAAGGUGAAAUGAAGAAACAGCAAUUUUCAAGCUCUGAAGCCCAGCGUAAGAUGCCAAACACUGUGACUGGUCAUGGCUGUUGCGGUCCUGCUGCCUGGCCUCAUUGACAUGGGCAGCACCCAAGCCCAUAUCUCCUGCAGCUCCCUCCAGCCCUGCUACUCAGACUUCACCUAGUCCUGGGCCAGAUGCGAGCGCAGCUCCGUGGUGAAGUGCUCCAGUGUCUCUUGUAUCGUCCAGCACCUGGCAUAUGGCACGCCCAGGACCCAUGGUCCCCUGCGAGUGGAAGGAUAGAUACAAAUGGAGACAGGUAAGGGGCUUCAGGAGGAGCCAAGGAGCAGGGUGGGGGCUGGAGGGCAGGCUCAGAUAUAAGCAGGCAGAGGGUAUCUGUGGUGACGGAAGGCACGUUUUGCCUCCCUCCGCUGUCUCAGAUCCCAUGCUAUGUCACCCUCAGCCUUGGUUGCUGCUGCUACUAACAAAUGAGCUGUUCAUGCCACCCCCACAAGAGUCUCUGUAGAGGAUCCUGGAAGAGCUGCUCCAGAAAGGAAGGGAGGCACCGGGCACCUGCCCAAUUAGCUUGGUGACCUCUCUGGUGCAGAGGCUGUCUUCUCUCAUCCUGCUCUUUCCCCCAGAGGGGCCCAGUGGGACAGUCCUGAAAAUGCAAUGUAGAAAUCCCAGCUGAGGUGCCCUCCAGAAUCCAGGGCUCCAGCUGUGAAUACUUCAGCAAGAAGGAGCCUUGUGCCAGGGAAGGUGGCGGAGGGCGGGGUGGAAGAAUUGACAGGGCUGGUGUGAGGAAUUAGGGCGCUUGGAUAACCAGGUGCAAAGGGAGUUCUGCACCCAUGCCUUUGCUUAUGUCCUUCCCCCAGAGCCCAGUCCUUGCCCACCUCCUUCAUGGUGCUUUCCUCCAACACCCCUGAAUGAAAGCAGCUGGCUCUUGUUGUUCAUGGGCAGUGGGUUUCAGUGAAGGUCUCUGGAGCAGAGUUCAGGACCCCCUAGGUCCUACUUUGUCUAGUAACAUGCUAUGCAG